rnacentral:tRNA from 1 species
GAGGAUGUAGUUCAGUGAUAGAACAUGUGCUUAGCAUGCAUGAGGUCCUGGGUUCAAUCCCCAGUUACCUCC